AUGGUGGCAACGUGUGAUUGUGUUUGUGUUAUAUUUUCGUGUAUAGCGGCGGUGUCAGGACGUGUCGAGUGUGCCUUUUGGACUCAGCGUGACGGUAAAGGAUCCAGGAAGAGGCUGUGAAGGUCUGGUGAGGCUGCGUGGUGCGUGGACGGCAGGAGAAGAAGCGGACCAAGACUUUCGGGGCGCAGCCAAUAUAGUGACUCUCCUCUCCCUUGCCCCGAUGACCGACGCACGAGAAGCAACACUCAUAGGAGGAAAUGGAUUGGCGCAGGGAAGGAAGGAACUCGAGAAUCCUUGGGCGCAGGAGUGGCCGGUGGUCGGGGAUAGCGGAAGAAGGAUGGAAAGAGGAGCGGAUGAGGAGAGGAGGAUGGAGAAAGAAAGAGGAGUGCUAUGUGCCGCAAGGAAGAGGAACACGCAUUAUUAUUUAAGGAAAAUGUGGCGGCAGCUGGUGACUCCUUGAGCUCCCUCCUUUGUAGAAUUACCAAAGAUGAAAAGUUGUUCUCCAUUCCUGCCCAACAUCACCAAGACCCACAUCUAAUCAGGAGCACCAUUAAUCCAAGGAAGGACUAAGUUGUAUUGGUGGCAGUAGUAGUUUGUUAAUAUGAUCACCCGGCACAGAUUCACUUGCAGGAAGCUUGUAGCCUCCACCGGUUCAUCUCAACUAGUAGCGUCCAAGUAAAAUAAUGGUAUCACUUGAA